GGAACCCUCGGAUUGCAGGAAGAGGUUUUCUGGCUCUCCUCCUCCCACUCCAUCGGCAGGCAUUCCACGUCUCCAACCCAUCCUUCCCGUGGCGGCUGAGGCAGGGCUGAAGGUGCAAGCCACAGGUCUGAAAAUGAAUUAAGAGGUGCCGUGAAUUCAAUCUCAGGGCCUGGCUCUCUGCUGGCCCGGCCCCCAGGGCCUGAUGGAGGAGGCCCCGGGUGAUCUGGUGAGCUUCACUGGGCA